rnacentral:rRNA from 1 species
GGUUUGAUCAUAGCUCAGAUUGAACGCUGGCGGGAUGUGCUUUACACAUACAAGUCAGGAACGGCAGCACGGACUUCGGUCUGGUGGCGAGUGGCGAACGGGUGAGUAAUGUAUCGGAACGUGCCUAGUAGCGAGGAUAACUACGCCAGAAAGCGUAGCUAAUACACCAUGCGCUGAGGAAAGCGGGGGGACCUUCGGGCCUCGCACUAUUAGAGCGGCCGAUAUCGGAUUAGCUAGUUGGUGGGGGUAACGGCUCGCAAAGGCGACUUGAUCGUAGCUGGUUUGAGAGGACGACCAGCCACACUGCGGGACUGGGACACGGCCCAGACUCUACGGGAGGGGCAGCAGUGGGGAAUUUUGGACAAUGGGGAAACCCUGAUCCAGCCAUCCCGCGUGUGCGAUGAAGGCGGGUUGUUUGUAAAGCACUUUUGGCAGGAAAGAAACGGCACGGGAUAAUACCCCGAUGCAGCUGACGGUACCUGCAGAAUAAGCACCGGCUAACUACGUGCCAGCAGCCGCGGUAGUACGUAGAGGUGCAAGCGUUAAUCGGAAUUACUGGGCGUAAAGCGUGCGCAGGCGGUUCGGAAAGAAAAGAUGUGAAAUCCCAGAGCUUAACUUUGGAACUGCGUUUUUUAACUUCUGGAGCUAGAAACAGUGUGUCAGAGGGAGGUGAAUUCCGCGUGUAGCAGUGAAAUGCGUAGAUAUGCGGAGGAGGGAACACCGAUGGCGAAGGCAGCCUCCUGGGAUGCUCUGGCGCUCAUGCAGCAUUGAGAACCGGUGAUUAGAUACCCUGGUAGUCCACGCCUAAACGAUGUCAACUAGCUGUCAGGAGGCCUUCGGGCCUUGGUGGCGCAAGCUAACGCGUGAAGUUGACCGCCUGGGGAGUACGGUCGCAAGAUUAAAACUCAAAGGAAUUGACGAGGACCCACUUUAAGCGGUGGAUGAUGUCGGAUUAAUUCGAUGCAACGCGAAAAACCUUACCUACCCUUGACAUGUCUGGAAUCCCGAAGAGAUUUGGUGCUCGCAGAACGGAACACAGGUGCUGCAUGGCUGUCGUAUCAGCUCGUGUCGUGAGAUGUUGGAUAAAGUCCGCAACGAGCGCAACCCUUGUCAUUAGUUGCUACGAAAGGGCACUCUAAUGAGACUGCCGGUGACAAACCGGAGGAAGGUGGGGAUGACGUCAAAGUCCUCGCGGCCUGCGAGUGAACUACAUCAUAAUGGUGGGACGGUGCCAACCCGCGAGGGGAGCCAAUCCCAGAAACCCGAUCGUAGUCCGGAUCAUGAUCCAACUCGGGCCACAGUGAAGUCAAAAUCGCUAAUCGCGGAUCAGCAUGUCGCGGUGAAUACGUUCGGGUCUUGUACACGCCCGUCACACCAUGGAGUGGUUUUACCAAGUAGUUAGUCUAACCGUAAGGAGGCGAUUACCACGGUAGGAUUCAUGACUGGGGUGAAGUCGUAACAAGGUAAAAAC